CGCUCCUGAGACACCUCAACAAGGUCGUCGUACACACGCGCACCGGCACGCCAUACAAAGCAGGCAGCAGCGCUGACACUUCACACACACGAACCACGCGUUGAGUUCCGGCUCACUGGCUCUUCGUUUCUCUCUCGCCUCCGCUCCCUGUGACGGCGUUUGUGCGUGCGCGAUCGAUGACGUUCCGCGUUUCUGUCCGACUGGCGCGCGACACCUUGUGCCUCUCAGACACCGUCGAGGGCAGCGUCGCUUUAGACGUGGAGGGCACGUCGCACGAUGUCGCGGCAGCUGCGCCGAGCGCUGUGCGUGUGGUUUUGCGCGCUGUAGAGGAAGCUGGCAAGAGGCACGCCAUUGAGCACAUGGCGCUGGUCACAACAGUGGCAGGUCCAUCGAUAGCGCACGAAGAGGCUGCGGCGGCCGCCCUGCGUGAGAGGGCGAGUCGGUUCACGACGGAGGCAGCGCGCCGCAACCCGUUACCUGGAGUCCCAGUGAGCACUGACAGAACCGUGCUUGUCGAGGGCGGUGCCAGUGAGCACUACACCUACGGCGCGGGUGCUGGUGCUGCCUCGAACCCCGGUGGCAUGAAAAGUGACACCGCUGCCUCGCCUCCGCAGAGGUGGGAGGCGGGUGGCCAUUACGUGUACCCCUUCGCCCUGCAGCUUCCCCCGUGGCUGCCUCCGUCCUACUACUACAAGCCCAGCGCCGGCAAGUCGCACAUGUCGAUGCGAUACACGGUGGCAGCCUUUGUGGUCUGCGGCGUGGAGGAGGCGGACGUGGAUGUAGUCGGGAGGGAAUUCAGGUCGCAGACGAUGGUGCUGGUGCCUUGCACGCCGCUGCCGGCGAAAGCGUGGAGAGGCAGCACUCGCAACAGUGACGGCGGCACUAAAGGCGCGGAUAAGAGGGGGACGUGCGCGUCUGCACCGCUGCUCUCCCCGGUGCGCUUUCUACUUCCGGUUGAGGUCCCUCAGCUCCUGGAACGCCUCCCCGCCGCGCAACUUGCUGACUUCACUGUAUUAUCGGCGCUGCCAAAGCGCGAGCUGCAGCAGUGCGCCGAGCGUGUGUCGAUCUCACCGCCGUUUCGCGAAAAACUCACAUACCACAUAUACAAGCACAGCCUCGUCUUGCGCGGUCUUCUCCGCAACAAGCCGUACACUGCAGUCGACGUGCGCAUCACGUACGACUCUAGUGCGGCCGUGCUCCUGUGCGGCCGCCAGCAGUCCGUCGUGCGAGGGCGUGUUGCACUGGGGCUCGCAGCACCGCACGGCAACCACUCAGGUGACGCGCCAGCUGCUCUCCCUUCUGCCGGCAGCGGAGUUGCUCCAGGCGGACUGACUGUGACGGGGGCCGUUAUGGGCGGUGAUUACAGCCGCGUCCCUCGCAUUUAUAUGGACAAUCACGGCAUGGCACCUCCACCUCUGGGUAAGGGGGCGCGUGGGCGGCAAUCGCCUGAUGCGGCUGACCCACAUAGUAGUGACAGCGCUAACAGCCUUUGGCGCGACAGUGAGGGCGAAAGUGGCAGUCACCUGAGUGCGGUGAGCGCGUGCACCGAUCCGGCGAUUAACGGCGCGCUGCGACUGCGUGUGCGUGUGCGCACCGGCAGUGUUGCUGUGAGUAAGGUGCGGGUGAAACUGUUGGAGCGGGUUCGCUGCACCAGCGCCCCGGCGGCGCAGCCGAACGACGUCUACACGCUUGCCACGUACACGCACUCGGAGAAGAUACAUGCCAACACGUCGAUUGAGUUCCCUGUUGAGCUGGCGCUGCCAAAGCAGUUUCGCCAUACCGCCGCGGACCAUGACAAGUACCCCCCACCCGCUGGCAUCACCACCGCUGCCGUCCACACCACCACGUGGCUGCAGAUCACCUUUCCCAGCCUCCACGCUGUUUCAGAAGCGCAGCUAGGGGAGAAUGUCGUGUUGGUUGGCGAGGACGUGGACCUGACAGACACGGUUCCGUUCUUGCCCUGCGCGUGCCCAGCGCGGACACUAUGAAGCCCAACUAUGGCCCCGGUGACGUAUCGGUGCUCUCUCUUGUUGUGCUCUGGCCGAGGAGGGCGCCUCAACGGCAUUUAUUUUCCUUCAACUGCACCCAGGCAGAGAUACACCCAACAUGGCGUCAUUGUAUACUGCUGGACAACUUGUGUCCUCUCCAACUUAAUGAUCUUUUCUUUCUCUCUGUGAUGUGGCCUCGUAAUGGGUUUGCUUCGCUUCCUUUGCGCAAGCCUGCGCAGACCACCCUCGCCCCUCAAACGGACACGCCGUGAACGCCAGCGCAUGUUUUGGAGAGGGUGGGGUGGGUGGGCGACCUCGCUGUGCUGAUCCUAUGCUACACCGGUAUCUCACUCCUAUUACCUUUUUUUUUCCAUGGGUUUGCUCUCCUCGUUUCGAUGACAAUAAGCCGCAAAACGGCGCGUGUCGGUCUUAUGCCUCCUGAUCAUCUCCCUCUCCGCCGCGCUCUCACCCCCUCCCUCCCUCCCUACCCUUCCUCGACAAGACUCUUUUUUGAGUUGCUGAGAGAGGCUUCGUCAAAGGCGAUUGCAAGAACGACGCUUCUCAUCACCGCUUCUCCGUGCGCCCCCCCGCCCUCACCGCUGUCUCUGCCGCUGUAACCUGCCUGCUCCUCCAUCUUGCUCUGUCCUGGCCCCCCCCCCCCACACACGAACACAUCGGCAUCCGAUUGAACAUGAUCAUCAUCGUCCUCAUAG
rnacentral:misc_RNA from 1 species